GAUGAACGCUAGCGGCAGGCCUAAUACAUGCAAGUCGGACGGGAUUGAGGAGCUUGCUUCUCAUGAGAGUGGCGCACGGGUGCGUAACACGUAUGUAACCUACCUUAGUCAGGGGGAUAGCCUCUCGAAAGAGAGAUUAACACCGCAUAACAUUAUGAUAUGGCAUCAUAUUAUAAUCAAAUAUUUAUAGGACUAAGAUGGGCAUGCGGAACAUUAGCUAGUUGGUAAGGUAACGGCUUACCAAGGCUACGAUGUUUAGGGGAUCUGAGAGGAUGACCCCCCACACUGGUACUGAGACACGGACCAGACUCCUACGGGAGGCAGCAGUAAGGAAUAUUGGUCAAUGGACGCAAGUCUGAACCAGCCAUGCCGCGUGCAGGAAGACGGCCCUACGGGUUGUAAACUGCUUUUGUACCGGAAUAAACCUUUGUAUGUAUACGAAGCUGAAUGUACGGUAAGAAUAAGGAUCGGCUAACUCCGUGCCAGCCGCCGCAGUAA
rnacentral:rRNA from 1 species